CCUGACCUGUCUUUUUUUUUUUUUUUUCCCUGUGCAUGUUAUUUGCACCUUAAAUAAUCAAUAUAACUACUGAAAUAAGACAAAAACUUAUUUUGUAUCUGAAAAUGCUUCUCUUACCUUGCAGUUAAAUGUGAAAGAUCAGACUUUCUGAAGUGUAAGCUUAGAUGUAAACUUCAGCUCUAACAGUUUGCAAAUUAGUAAGAGAUUUCAGGAGUAUAGACAGUUGUUCUUUACUAUUGUUAGGUUGAAGUGUUCUUAGGAAAUAAGUAGUUUCAUUGUAGGUGUGUUGUAAUCCUUCAUUUUCAGGCACUACAGUAAUGAACACUGUAGAAAUGUUACUGAGUGUGUUAAAAAGAACCUUGGUUAAUAGUACAGGCAGUGUCGCUUUUUGGCUGUAUAAGCACUUCCAUUCUAUAGCAGUGUCAACUAUCUUUUGAACUAGAACUUCCUAUAUUUAGCCUCUUACCAGUUCAGUUCUUCUAGAAGCUUGAACAAAACCAGUUGUUAUCUUUUUAAAUACAACUCUUUUAAAACAAGUUUCAUAAUGUGAUGGCAGGUGGGCAGAAGCUUGUACCAUGGCGGGGGGAGGUUUACUCAUUUGCAAAUGAUGCUUUUUCAAAGGCAUUUAUAUUUGUCUGCAGAUGCUGGGAGGGGGGAGGUAACUGAAAAACUGGCAUUUCUGUAUUUUUAAUUAAAUACAGUUCUGCUAUCCUUUUUAGGCAAAGCAUGCAAUUCUAGAAUAAAGUCCCUGGUGUAAUUAGUAGCAUCUUUGAAAAUUUAUGUUGAAAAGAAGUUAACGUUGUUUUUCCACAGUAUCCAACCCUGCUGGAUGACAACAUCUUUCAGGCCUUGCUGACUAAAGCAUAUAGGAUAAUAGAAUGGAAUCAUAGAUAUGAAAUACACAUGUGUAUUUAAGGGGUUUGGGUUUUGUGG